GUACUUGCUUUGGCAGCACAUAUACUAAAAUUGGAAGGAUACAGAGAUUAGUAUGGCCCCUGUGCAAAGAUGACAUGCAAAUUCAUGAAGCAUUCCUUAUUUUU